rnacentral:rRNA from 1 species
GAUGGCAUCAUUUAAAAUUGAAAACUCCGGUGGAUAGAGAUGGGCACGCGCAAGAUUAGAUAGUUGGUAGGGUAACGGCCUACCAAGUCAGUGAUCUUUAGGGGGCCUGAGAGGGUGAUCCCCCACACUGGUACUGAGACACGGACCAGACUCCUACGGGAGGCAGCAGUGAGGAAUAUUGGACAAUGGGUGAGAGCCUGAUCCAGCCAUCCCGCGUGAAGGACGACGGCCCUAUGGGUUGUAAACUUCUUUUGUACAGGGAUAAACCUUUCCACGUGUGGAAAGCUGAAGGUACUGUACGAAUAAGCACCGGCUAACUCCGUGCCAGCAGCCGCGGUAAUACGGAGGGUGCAAGCGUUAUCCGGAUUUAUUGGGUUUAAAGGGUCCGUAGGCGGAUCCGUAAGUCAGUGGUGAAAUCUCAUAGCUUAACUAUGAAACUGCCAUUGAUACUGCGGGUCUUGAGUAAGGUAGAAGUAGCUGGAAUAAGUAGUGUAGCGGUGAAAUGCAUAGAUAUUACUUAGAACACCAAUUGCGAAGGCAGGUUACUAUGUCUUAACUGACGCUGAUGGACGAAAGCGUGGGGAGCGAACAGGAUUAGAUACCCUGGUAGUCCACGCCGUAAACGAUGCUAACUCGUUUUUGGGCUUUCGGGUUCAGAGACUAAGCGAAAGUGAUAAGUUAGCCACCUGGGGAGUACGAACGCAAGUUUGAAACUCAAAGGAAUUGACGGGGGCCCGCACAAGCGGUGGAUUAUGUGGUUUAAUUCGAUGAUACGCGAGGAACCUUACCAAGACUUAAAUGGGAAUUGAUCGGUUUAGAAAUAGACCUUCCUUCGGGCAAUUUUCAAGGUGCUGCAUGGUUGUCGUCAGCUCGUGCCGUGAGGUGUUAGGUUAAGUCCUGCAACGAGCGCAACCCCUGUCACUAGUUGCCAUCAUUAAGUUGGGGACUCUAGUGAGACUGCCUACGCAAGUAGAGAGGAAGGUGGGGAUGACGUCAAAUCAUCACGGCCCUUACGUCUUGGGCCACACACGUAAUACAAUGGCCGGUACAGAGGGCAGCUACACAGCGAUGUGAUGCA